rnacentral:rRNA from 1 species
CUGUUCUGCAAGUCCUCCGUUAAAUCCACCUGCUUAACGGAUGGGCUGCGGGGGAUACUGCAGAGCUAGGAGGCGGGAGAGGCAAGCGGUACUCGAUGGGUAGGGGUAAAAUCCGUUGAUCCAUUGAAGACCACCAGUGGCGAAGGCGGCUUGCCAGAACGCGCUCGACGGUGAGGGAUGAAAGCUGGGGGAGCAAACCGGAUUAGAUACCCGGGUAGUCCCAGCUGUAAACGAUGCAGACUCGGUGAUGAGUUGGCUUCAUGCCAACUCAGUGCCGCAGGGAAGCCGUUAAGUUUGCCGCCUGGGGA